GACGAACCGAGCGAACGUUGUUCGGAAUCACUGGGCUUAAAGGGCGCGUAGGCGGGUUCUCAAGUCCUGGGUGAAAUCCUCCAGCUCAACUGGAGAACUGCCUCGGAUACUGGGUGUCUCGAGGGUGGUAGGGGUAUGCGGAACUAUCGGUGGAGCGGUGAAAUGCGUUGAUAUCGAUAGGAACUCCGGUGGCGAAGGCGGCAUACUGGACCACAUCUGACGCUGAGGCGCGAAAGCCAGGGGAGCAAACGGG
rnacentral:rRNA from 1 species